rnacentral:misc_RNA from 1 species
ACUAAUUAACUUUUAUUUACUAAUCCGAGUUUAUCCGAGUCUUUUUGUUUUACCUGCUUCAAGUUUAAAUAAUGGUUCGUUUUAAAAAUAGGUAGAUAUAUAACUGUAGAAAUUGUAUGUCCAACAGUUUCAGAAAAAACGCCAUUACAGUUGAAACCGGGUAUCUUUCAUAGCACAGUAUUGCAUAAAGUGCAGCAAAUCCAUGG